UAGGGAAUCUUCCAUAAUGGACGAAAGUCUGAUGGAGCAACGCCGCGUGAGUGAAGAAGGGUUUCGGCUCGUAAAACUCUGCUGUUAAAGAAGAACAUAUCUGAGAGUAACUGUUCAGGUAUUGACGGUAUUUAACCAGAAAGCCACGGCUAACUACGUGCUAG
rnacentral:rRNA from 1 species